GGUUAAGCGACUAAGCGUACACGGUGGAUGCCCUGGCAGUCAGAGGCGAUGAAGGACGUGCUAAUCUGCGAAAAGCGUCGGUAAGGUGAUAUGAACCGUUAUAACCGGCGAUGUCCGAAUGGGGAAACCCAGUGUGAUUCGUCACACUAUCGUUAACUGAAUACAUAGGUUAACGAGGCGAACCGGGGGAACUGAAACAUCUAAGUACCCCGAGGAAAAGAAAUCAACCGAGAUUCCCCCAGUAGCGGCGAGCGAACGGGGAGCAGCCCAGAGUCUGAAUCAGCUUGUGUGUUAGUGGAACGGUCUGGAAAGUCCGACGGUACAGGGUGAUAGUCCCGUACACCAAAAUGCACAGGCUGUGAACUCGAAGAGUAGGGCGGGACACGUGGUAUCCUGUCUGAAUAUGGGGGGACCAUCCUCCAAGGCUAAAUACUCCUGACUGACCGAUAGUGAACCAGUACCGUGAGGGAAAGGCGAAAAGAACCCCGGCGAGGGGAGUGAAAAAGAACCUGAAACCGUGUACGUACAAGCAGUGGGAGCACCUUUAUGGUGUGACUGCGUACCUUUUGUAUAAUGGGUCAGCGACUUAUAUUCUGUAGCAAGGUUAACCGUAUAGGGGAGCCGCAGGGAAACCGAGUCUUAACUGGGCGUUAAGUUGCAGGGUAUAGACCCGAAACCCGGUGAUCUAGCCAUGGGCAGGUUGAAGGUUGGGUAACACUAACUGGAGGACCGAACCGACUAAUGUUGAAAAAUUAGCGGAUGACUUGUGGCUGGGGGUGAAAGGCCAAUCAAACCGGGAGAUAGCUGGUUCUCCCCGAAAGCUAUUUAGGUAGCGCCUCGUGAACUCAUCUUCGGGGGUAGAGCACUGUUUCGGCUAGGGGGUCAUCCCGACUUACCAACCCGAUGCAAACUACGAAUACCGAAGAAUGUUAUCACGGGAGACACACGGCGGGUGCUAACGUCCGUCGUGAAGAGGGAAACAACCCAGACCGCCAGCUAAGGUCCCAAAGUCAUGGUUAAGUGGGAAACGAUGUGGGAAGGCACAGACAGCCAGGAUGUUGGCUUAGAAGCAGCCAUCAUUUAAAGAAAGCGUAAUAGCUCACUGGUCGAGUCGGCCUGCGCGGAAGAUGUAACGGGGCUAAACCAUGCACCGAAGCUGCGGCAGCGACACGAUGUGUUGUUGGGUAGGGGAGCGUUCUGUAAGCCUGCGAAGGUGGCCUGUGAGGGUUGCUGGAGGUAUCAGAAGUGCGAAUGCUGACAUAAGUAACGAUAAAGCGGGUGAAAAGCCCGCUCGCCGGAAGACCAAGGGUUCCUGUCCAACGUUAAUCGGGGCAGGGUGAGUCGACCCCUAAGGCGAGGCCGAAAGGCGUAGUCGAUGGGAAACAGGUUAAUAUUCCUGUACUUGGUGUUACUGCGAAGGGGGGACGGAGAAGGCUAUGUUAGCCGGGCGACGGUUGUCCCGGUUUAAGCAUGUAGGCUGGUUAUCCAGGCAAAUCCGGAUAAUCAAGGCUGAGGUGUGAUGACGAGGCACUACGGUGCUGAAGUAACAAAUGCCCUGCUUCCAGGAAAAGCCUCUAAGCAUCAGGUAACACGAAAUCGUACCCCAAACCGACACAGGUGGUCAGGUAGAGAAUACCAAGGCGCUUGAGAGAACUCGGGUGAAGGAACUAGGCAAAAUGGUGCCGUAACUUCGGGAGAAGGCACGCUGGUGUGUAGGUGAAGCCCCUGCGGGUGGAGCUGAGACCAGUCGAAGAUACCAGCUGGCUGCAACUGUUUAUUAAAAACACAGCACUGUGCAAACACGAAAGUGGACGUAUACGGUGUGACGCCUGCCCGGUGCCGGAAGGUUAAUUGAUGGGGUUAUCCGUAAGGAGAAGCUCUUGAUCGAAGCCCCGGUAAACGGCGGCCGUAACUAUAACGGUCCUAAGGUAGCGAAAUUCCUUGUCGGGUAAGUUCCGACCUGCACGAAUGGCGUAAUGAUGGCCAGGCUGUCUCCACCCGAGACUCAGUGAAAUUGAACUCGCUGUGAAGAUGCAGUGUACCCGCGGCAAGACGGAAAGACCCCGUGAACCUUUACUAUAGCUUGACACUGAACAUUGAGCCUUGAUGUGUAGGAUAGGUGGGAGGCUUUGAAGCGUGGACGCCAGUCUGCGUGGAGCCAACCUUGAAAUACCACCCUUUAAUGUUUGAUGUUCUAACGUUGGCCCCUUAUCGGGGUUGCGGACAGUGUCUGGUGGGUAGUUUGACUGGGGCGGUCUCCUCCCAAAGCGUAACGGAGGAGCACGAAGGUUAGCUAAUCCUGGUCGGACAUCAGGAGGUUAGUGCAAUGGCAUAAGCUAGCUUGACUGCGAGCGUGACGGCGCGAGCAGGUGCGAAAGCAGGUCAUAGUGAUCCGGUGGUUCUGAAUGGAAGGGCCAUCGCUCAACGGAUAAAAGGUACUCCGGGGAUAACAGGCUGAUACCGCCCAAGAGUUCAUAUCGACGGCGGUGUUUGGCACCUCGAUGUCGGCUCAUCACAUCCUGGGGCUGAAGUAGGUCCCAAGGGUAUGGCUGUUCGCCAUUUAAAGUGGUACGCGAGCUGGGUUUAGAACGUCGUGAGACAGUUCGGUCCCUAUCUGCCGUGGGCGCUGGAGAAUUGAGGGGGGCUGCUCCUAGUACGAGAGGACCGGAGUGGACGCAUCACUGGUGUUCGGGUUGUCAUGCCAAUGGCACUGCCCGGUAGCUAAAUGCGGAAGAGAUAAGUGCUGAAAGCAUCUAAGCACGAAACUUGCCCCGAGAUGAGUUCUCCCUGAGACUUUAAGUCUCCUGAAGGAACGUUGAAGACGACGACGUUGAUAGGCCGGGUGUGUAAGCGCAGCGAUGCGUUGAGCUAACCGGUACUAAUGAACCGUGAGGCUUAACCUU
rnacentral:rRNA from 1 species